CUAGUUCUUUAUGAUAAAAACACGAAGUGAAAAAGUGAUUCGGGAAUACGAAGACUAACAAACAAGUGGUUACGUGUGUGUGUUCAGUUCUGUGUUGGGGACUGCAUUCAGGUGUGUGUUCAGUUCUGUGUUGGGGACUGCAUUCAGGUGUGUGUUCAGUUCUGUGUUGGGGACUGCAUUCAGGUGUGUGUUCAGUUCUGUGUUGGGGACUGCAUUCAGGUGUGUGUGUGUUCAGUUCUGUGUUGGGGACUGCAUGCAGGUGUGUGUGUGUUCAGUUCUGUGUUGGGGACUGCAUUCAGGUGUGUGUCUGUGUUCAGUUCUGUGUUGGGGACUGCAUUCAGGUGUGUGUCUGUGUUCAGUUCUGUGUUGGGGACUGCAUUCAGGUGUGUGUGUGUGUGUGUGUGUGUGUGUUAGACAAUGGUAUGUGUGUACUGUAUUAAACAAUGGUGUGUAGGGGCGUGCCCCCGCUGUGUGAGGGUGAUGAUGUGUGUUCUGACGAAGACGAGAGAGAGCCGCGUGAUGAAGAUGCUUCCCUCUCCAACUC